GGCUCAGGAUGAACGCUGGCGGCGUGCUUAACACAUGCAAGUCGAACGGUGAAGCUCAGCUUGCUGGGUGGAUCAGUGGCGAACGGGUGAGUAACACGUGAGCAACCUGCCCCUGACUCUGGGAUAAGCGCUGGAAACGGCGUCUAAUACUGGAUAUGUAUCACAGUCGCAUGGCUGGUGGUUGGAAAGAUUUUUCGGUUGGGGAUGGGCUCGCGGCCUAUCAGCUUGUUGGUGAGGUAAUGGCUCACCAAGGCGUCGACGGGUAGCCGGCCUGAGAGGGUGACCGGCCACACUGGGACUGAGACACGGCCCAGACUCCUACGGGAGGCAGCAGUGGGGAAUAUUGCACAAUGGGCGGAAGCCUGAUGCAGCAACGCCGCGUGAGGGAUGACGGCCUUCGGGUUGUAAACCUCUUUUAGCAAGGAAGAAGCGAGAGUGACGGUACUUGCAGAAAAAGCGCCGGCUAACUACGUGCCAGCAGCCGCGGUAAUACGUAGGGCGCAAGCGUUAUCCGGAAUUAUUGGGCGUAAAGAGCUCGUAGGCGGUUUGUCGCGUCUGCUGUGAAAUCCCGAGGCUCAACCUCGGGCCUGCAGUGGGUACGGGCAGACUAGAGUGCGGUAGGGGAGAUUGGAAUUCCUGGUGUAGCGGUGGAAUGCGCAGAUAUCAGGAGGAACACCGAUGGCGAAGGCAGAUCUCUGGGCCGUAACUGACGCUGAGGAGCGAAAGGGUGGGGAGCAAACAGGCUUAGAUACCCUGGUAGUCCACCCCGUAAACGUUGGGAACUAGUUGUGGGGUCCUUUCCACGGAUUCCGUGACGCAGCUAACGCAUUAAGUUCCCCGCCUGGGGAGUACGGCCGCAAGGCUAAAACUCAAAGGAAUUGACGGGGAACCCGCA
rnacentral:rRNA from 1 species